rnacentral:lncRNA from 1 species
CCUGGGAUGUUGUAUGCCAGUUGUUACGGGAUCGUAAUCUUGGUAUUUAGUCCUUGGUCACACACGAGAGGUCCUGAUUAUUUGUUAUGUGGCUAGAUUUCUUCUUGACUAUGAUAAUCUGUAGAGCACGGUGAUGAAGGCUAAGUACGAUAUGUGCCUGUGAACAGUAUGGUUCAGAUAAGGAGGAGUUGCUCUUUCUUACAGAGGUUUGCAUACGUGCCCCUGAUGUGACUCUUCAGAUGAUAUGGCUCAUGACAGAGGACAAUUGGUCGGUGAACUUUCUGAUGGACUCAUAUGCUUGUUAUUGAGCUAAUGGCCAAUCUUUAUUAGCACUGAGAUAGAUUAUUCGAUAAGAGUAUGUGAUCUUCUUCAUUUGGAUGGUAGGGGA